GAUGAGGCUGUGAUGACCAAAAAAUACCUACCUAUUUUCUGACUCCUGACGAGAAACCAAUAUCCUUCUGAGCCUUCCA